rnacentral:lncRNA from 1 species
AAGUCUUGCUUUUACCUUCACAGCUUUUCUGAGCACCUGAGGAUGAGACCUUGAGUGCAAUUGAUUCUGAAAAAUUAAAAUGAUGCAUUUUAUAAUUAACUAAGGACCAUGCCAAAAUGAUCCAAAAUAUGUAAAAAUACUUUAAGAUGGUUACUAGAAAAUGUUUGCAAUUUUAGUUAAUAUUCAAAGGUUCCAAAGGACCCUCAAAUUCCUUACAAUAAAACCUCUAGCAAAACUCAGUCUUUAAAAAUUUGCUUUUUUACCAAUGGAGUAUGUUUUGGUAUGAGAAACUACUAUUUUUAGCACAUCUGUGAAAGCACUACCUGCAUAUAAAAACUAAUAACACUUGCGUUUUUUCUAAAAUUAGCUGGAAAUUAUAGUUCCUUAUCUCAAAACAUGGUCAAGGUUGCCCUCAUUGAAAAUAAAUUUAUUGCGAUUUCCUCUUGUGUACAUAACUGCCUAUCUUAUUCUAAAUUUUGUCUUUUUCAUUUACAGUUAGAGCACAUUCCAUGUGAAGUCACCAGAUUUUUUGAGCUGAUCACUCUGAAAGUGGAUGAUAAUUAUCUCACUAAUCUUCCAAAUAGUAUUGGUUAUCUAAGUAAAUUAAGGUGUUUCAGCGCCUCAAAUAAUCAACUCACCGUACUUCCAUCUAGUAUUGUCAAAUUGAAUUUGACAACGUUGAAUCUUUGUGAUAAUCAAUUUAUGAUCCCUGAACUGAACUUCGUUGAUCCAUCACGAUUACUAAAAGUUCCUACUCUAAAGAAUGCUGCCAGCAAGAUAGUCAUUAAGGCAUCAAUUCCACACUAUGAAGGACAUGCGCCACUCGAUGUAAUAUACCACCUCUGUUCUGCGUUCUACUGCAUUUGUCGCAAAGCAGUUUUUGACUCAAAAUGCACGUAUGUUCUCCUCUACAGCCUAAGGAAUAUUUCCAGUGAAUUCUUCUAUGAUAGUAGUAGUGAUCAUUUGAUCCCAACCAGGUUUGGCGUAUGCUCAUCUGCAUGCUACACCAAACUAACGAACAUAGCUGCAGCUUUGUGAUGGUGAUCAGCUGUCAUAAAACUGACGACUACAAUUUUGUUGAUUCUUUUGCCGUUAGGAUGCUUUUCUGAUUCUCUUGCAUUUAAGUCUGCCUGUCUCUUCAUCUCUUCAAUUUAAGUGGAUAACUGUGAUAUUAAUCAUCAAAACCUCUUUUAUAUCAAUGCCUAAAUGCUGGUGAGGAUCAUUGAGUUUUGGAUGUUUAGCCGUCCCUUUUUUUGAUGUCUUAAUGUGAUGUUGAUAACACAAAACUCAUAAGUUUUUUAAUCAUUAUAUUGAAAUGACAAGAUCUCUAAUGUGGGUUGGAGGUCAAAACAUGGCUUUUUAAAUAAUUUUGCAAUAUUGAUUGUGUCAUUAAAGAGAUUUUAAUCUCAUUUUCGUUUUAAAAAGAAGGCUAAAAUUUUACGGUUUGUCAAUUUGGAAGGAUCAUUAGCUUUUUUAGAAAAAGAAUUCUCCCCUCCCCUAAAUAAAUUUCCAUAUGUGAGCUGGAGAUAAAGUCUUCUCGUGAAUAAGCUUCCGAAACUUUAAUUAGAUUUUUUUUUUUUUUUUUUUUUUUUUUUUUUUGUCAUCAAAUGUGCCCAUUUUCUUUAUUCUCUUGAAAAAAAUCUUUUUAUGGACCUGGAAAUGUGAUUAAUUUUUUCUAUAGCUCUUUUAUUACAAUUUUGCAUUUGCAGAAAUAUGCCUCUACGCGAUCAAUUUUAUUGAAACUCCCAUGUGAUUUUUCUCAUUUUUAAACAAUGUCUAAGGUAUCAAAUAAAAUUUCUGUUGUAUGUUUUUACUUAAAAUGUUCUUAUUUUAUGAACCAGUAGUUAUUGACUUAAAAUUUUUACGCCACUAGGCGCUGCUGCCAAAUAGUUUCAGAUCUAGUCCAAAAUCUUUCGUUUUUGAAAAACUAACAAAAAACUACAGGAAGCUUCUCAUUUCUCAGCAAACAUAAACGUACAGGUAUAAACGAGAAAAAACAUUUAGAAAUGGCCCGAACUGUACGCAACAAGGUGGAGAAAUUGUGCUGGCCUCAGUCU